rnacentral:rRNA from 1 species
GACGAACGCUGGCGGCGUGCUUAACACAUGCAAGUCGAACGGAAAGGCCCCUUUGGGGGUCCUCGAGUGGCGAACGGGUGAGUAACACGUGAGUAACCUGCCCUUGACUUCGGGAUAACUUCAGGAAACUGGGGCUAAUACCGGAUAGGAAUCCUUGCUGCAUGGUGGGGGUUGGAAAGCUUCGGCGGUUUUGGAUGGACUCGCGGCUUAUCAGCUUGUUGGUGGGGUAGUGGCUUACCAAGGCUUUGACGGGUAGCCGGCCUGAGAGGGCGAUCGGCCACAUUGGGACUGAGAUACGGCCCAGACUCCUACGGGAGGCAGCAGUGGGGAAUAUUGCACAAUGGGCGGAAGCCUGAUGCAGCAACGCCGCGUGCGGGAUGACGGCCUUCGGGUUGUAAACCGCUUUCAGCAGGGGCGAAGCUUGUGGUGACGGUACCUGCAGAAGAAGCACCGGCUAACUACGUG